rnacentral:rRNA from 1 species
AGAGGGUGCAAGCGUUAAUCGGAAUUACUGGGCGUAAAGCGCAUGUAGGCGGAUAUUUAAGUCGAUUGUGAAAUCCCCGGGCUCAACCUGGGAACUGCAGUCGAUACUGGAUGUCUAGAGUAUAGGAGAGGAAAGUGGAAUUCCCGGUGUAGCGGUGGAAUGCAUAGAUAUCGGGAGGAACAUCAGUGGCGAAGGCGACUUUCUGGCCUAAUACUGACGCUCAGAUGCGAAAGCGUGGGGUAGCAAACAGGAUUAGAUACCCUGGUAGUCCACGCCGUAAACGAUGAGGACUAGGUGCUGGGGGGCUUGACCCUUUAGUGCCGCAGCUAACGCAUUAAGUUCUCCGCCUGGUAGUACGGCCGCAAGGCUA